UACGUAGGGGGCAAGCGUUGUCCGGAUUUAUUGGGCGUAAAGAGCGUGUAGGCGGCUAUACAGGUCCGCUGUGAAAACUCGAGGCUCAACCUCGAGACGUCGGUGGAAACCGUAUGGCUAGAGUCCGGAAGAGGAGAGUGGAAUUCCUGGUGUAGCGGUGAAAUGCGCAGAUAUCAGGAAGAACACCCGUGGCUAAGGCGGCUCUCUAGUACGGUACUGACGCUGAGACGCGAAAGCGUGGGGAGCGAACAGG
rnacentral:rRNA from 1 species